UACGUAGGGGGCAAGCGUUGUCCGGAAUCAUUGGGCGUAAAGAGCGUGUAGGCGGCUCGAUAAGUCUGCUGUGAAAGUCCAGGGCUCAACCCUGGAAGGCCGGUGGAAACUGUCGGGCUAGAGUCCGGAAGAGGCGAGUGGAAUUCCUGGUGUAGCGGUGAAAUGCGCAGAUAUCAGGAAGAACACCCGUGGCGAAGGCGGCUCUCUGGUACGUGACUGACGCUGAGACGCGAAAGCGUGGGGAGCGAACAGG
rnacentral:rRNA from 1 species